rnacentral:lncRNA from 1 species
CAUGCGAGAGAGCUUUUUUGGUAGGCCUGGCUUUGUCCGCUCUGUAAAAAUGAAAAGAACAAAAGGGGAUUCAUCUCGGCCCGUCGAUCGGAAAAAGGGUGGGAGAGGAAAACUAUUCGGCUACAGGCAAUCGAGCUUCUUCCUUGGACCUUCGCUUAAUCAAUCUCCCUUUUCUCCUUCUCUCUCUCUUUUACAGUUCUACGCGCUGCCAUUGUGUAUUGGGAUCGUUAAUCAAUGAGCCUAUGCAGGUUAUUCGCUCCAUGAUCGCCUUUCUUAAAAGGAGGAAACUAGAAGCUAGCUGGCCGGCCUGGAGUACAACUGGCUACCUCCUAAGUCCUAGCCAUCUUCUGACCGAUCUACAAGGCUAUACAUGAAACAAUCGUGGUGUAAGUAAAAUUCCACUUUCACGGCAAAAAAAAAAAACCCACACAAAAAUAAACCCCACGAUCCACAAACUUGUCUACUUGUUAGUUUCAUCGACAAAUAAACAUGAGAAAAAACAGACUUAAACUUCCUUGCAUCCACUUGGCCACACUUCCUUCGGAUGCAAAUCUUUUUCCUUGACACAACACUCUGGCAAUCCCUCAACGCACAAACAUCAAUAUUGCCUCAAUGCCUAUUGUGAUCGGCGAGAACUA